rnacentral:lncRNA from 1 species
UGAGACAGGGUUUCUCUGCGUAGUCCUGGCUGUCUUGGAACUCUCUUUGGAGACCAGGCUGGCCUAACCUUCGAACUCAAGCAGAGAUCAGCCAACCUCUGCCUCCUAAGUACUAGGAUUAAAUGCAUGUGUCAGUGUCACCAAGUAGUGCUUUCUUUAAUAGCCCCACCCAGCAAGCUCAGUAAUUCAACACCAUCAUCUAAGAGUCUUUUUCCAUGUGAGUCUCCUCUUCCCUCCUCUCCCCUAUUUCAACUCCUUUGUUUGUACCUCUUUUUUUAAAAAAAUAUUUAUUCAUUCACUUAUUUUUGCUACUUACGUUACUUAUAUUGUUCUCUUGAUUUGGGCUUCAUUUUCUCCUGAGCAGCUUUCAGACUCUUAGAAUGUUUGAGGUAGUGAGUCUUUCGAGACCUUCUCUCUCAACCAUCUAAUCUGAAGAUAAACAUGCUGAAGCUCAGAGAGGUCACAUGGUUCACUGUAGCGCAGAGGCAGAGAAAAAAAAAAAAAAAAAAAAAACCUGGGCAGUUAUUCCUCAUCAUUCAACCCGUGAAGAUACUCUGUUUCUCUGUGUUGCAGGACAAUGUUUUAUGCCAAUUAUGAUGUUGUGUUCUAGUUACGAUGUUUCCCUUUCUCUCUGUUAAAUAUUGGUUGACUUGAAUGCAAAUAGAAAAUGUUAAUAUUUUAAAAGGAAGGAUUUUGGAGGUAGGCAGGACAAUGGUUAAGAGCUACCAUGACAGAGUAAGCUGGCCAAACUACCUCCUUUCUUCAUCUGUGAAAUGGGGUCAGCCAAAUAGUCCUUAUCUCAUUGAGCUGAUAGAGAUAUAGGUGAGGGUGAUGGAAAGUUUAUAGGUUGGACCUUUGUACACGACAAGUGCUUUAUGUGUUCUGUAAUCACUUUUUCACACGGCUGUGUUUCUCACAGAGCAGAAGACUUUACUCUUACCUUGCCUUCUGAUUCAACUCUUAGUGGUGCUGUCUGCUCUCCAAGGACCAAAUCUUGGCUCCUUCAAAGGCUUAUGGGAACAGUAAAAGUUUGCAGACAUAUUCAUUUGGAAGGACAGCUUGUUCAAUUUUACAAACAUAUGGAAUAAUAAUCCAGUACAAGAAGGAGAACAGUAACAUUGUUGUAGAUAUGUAGAGGAUAUGUAGAGGAUAUGGCCGGCUGAGUAGGUGACAGACACUAAUUGAAGGUGUGGGUUUAUCAGUGGAAAGAAAAAUCAUUUAGAAAGUCAUGGUCAAAUUUGUUUUAAUGGAACAGAUAUAUUCUCUAUAAUAAGAGAAAAUUGUUUUGUGAAUUGGGAUGCAGUCUUAUUUAUUUGUUUAUUAAUUAAUUAAUUGUCUUUCUAUGUAACUCUAGAUAUCCUGGAAGCUGCUAUAUAGACCAUGUUAGUCUUGAACUCCCAGAAAUCCACCUGCCUCUGCUUCCUAAACGCUGGGAUCAAAUGUGUGCCCAAUAUUAUAAUUCAUUUCUUACUUUGAUUCCUCAUUAAAAAUUGAGAAAGCUUCGGAGUUGGAAACAUUUUAUUUUGGCAAUGAACAGCAAUUAUUCUUUUUUUUAAAAACUAUUUUUAAAAAGAUUUGUUUAUUUAUGUAUAUGAGUGCUCUAUCUGUAUGCCAGAAGAGGAUGUGAGAUCUUCUACGUGGUUUCUGGGAAGUGAACUCAGGACCUCUGGAAGAGCAACUAGUGCUCUUAGCUGCUGGGUCAUCUCUCCAGUCAAACAGCAGUCAUUCUUAAACGACAUAGUUAUUGGGUUAAUAGAUUUCUCCCUCUGAAGCCCUUAUUUUUUGAGAAGGCUCUUCUUUAUUUAUUUGCUUAGAGGAAAUUUACAUUGUUGGAAGAGUUAGGAAGAGAACUGUCACAUUGUAAAUUAUCCAAACUGAUCUAAUCACAACUCCUUCUCAGGAAUAAUAUCUACCUUGAAAGUAGAGCUUUUCCUGAUUCUUCACAAAACAGAGUGUGCAUGGGAUGCAUUGUGAGGGCAUCGGGGAGGAAUCCUUAUUCUUUGAUCAGGUGGGAGGCUCUCAUCCCAUCUCUUUUAGCAUCCACCAAAGACUACACUCUGGCUACCUUAACCACACUUUCUGUACUGAUGCUUUGUGAUUCCCUUUGUUUCUUGUCAGCCUAUGAUUGUCCUUUAAACUUUUACUUGCUUUUAUUUCUACAGUUAAAGGGACUGGGGGCCCUGUGUGGAGGAGAAACCCCGGUAAUUAAGGUUGAAGUGUGACAUCUGAAAGCCCUGAGCCUGGUGCAAAAGGUCAGACUCUCUUUACCAGCAGGGCUUCUCCUUCACUGACCUUGUCUGGGGAGCUCAAAACCCCCAUGUCCUUUACCUUGAGAAUGUUGUGUAGUCUUGGCUAGAUUACAGGUUUUUUUUUAGCACCUGAGGUUCCUGGGGUGCCUCCCCAUGCUAGUGAGGCAUCUCAGAACCUUAGCCCGAAGCCAGUGACCUUUGCCCACCCUGGAUAUUUCUACCUCCUUCCCCAAACUACAUAAUGCUUGACUCAUGCCAAUUAAAGUUGAUGUGUCUCCCCGAAGCUGAUCCUGGAAUGUUGCCAUUUCCAUUUGUACUCCCAGGCCACCCGAAACACUGGUCAGCAACUCUGUUCCUUUGUCCUGAUGGGCUAGUGGCCAACGAACCCUGGGGAGAAAGGAGGCCCACAGUCUGGAGGUGUUUAAAACAGAGCAAAAUGCUGCCUUUGGCUUUCUCUCCAACUUGAAUCCUAGAGGUAUUCCAUCCGAUAAAUUCAUCGACUCUACCAAAAAUGGAUAUUUGCUUUAAAAUCAAGAUACAAUUAUGAUAUAUUAUAGAAUGCAUAUAAAAUGGGAUUUUAGAGUGAGACAAAAUUAGUGAUUUUAUAAUAGAAAUAAUUAUUUUGUCAAUAUUAACAAUUAAUACUUGUGUUAUAUUUUAAAUCAAUGUGACAUUUAGAAACAAGGAACUCCCAGUAUAGUUCACUUCUAUGCUUGAAUUUAGUG